AGCUUUGGGCCAUGGCAGUGUCGUAGCUAAUAAGGUUUAUCUGAGGAGCGAUUAUUGCUAAUUGAAAACUUUCUCUUGUCAACAAGGGUUAUCUGGGUGGGAAGGUUAUGGUCCAUCUUUAGUUUUUAUCUUUUAUCUCUCUGAGUUAAAAGGAAAAAAAUUAUUACUUCAUAUAUUAGUAA
rnacentral:snRNA from 1 species